UCGGGAAUAUUGGGCAAUGGGCGAAAGCCUGACCCAGCAACGCCGCGUGCGCGAUGAAGGCCUUCGGGUCGUAAAGCGCUUUUCGGGAGGAUGAGGAAGGACAGUACUCCCGGAAUAAGUCACGGCUAACUACGUGCCAGCAGCCGCGGUAAAACGUAGGUGGCAAGCGUUAUCCGGAUUCACUGGGCGUAAAGCGCGUGCAGGCGGCCCGGCAAGUCGGGCAUGAAAUCUCUUGGCUCAACCAAGAGAAGCUGUCCGAUACUUUCGGGCUUGAGGAUGGUAGAGGGUGGUGGAAUUCCGGGUGUAGUGGUGAAAUGCGUAGAUAUCCGGAGGAACACCAGUGGCGAAAGCGGCCACCUGGACCAUUUCUGACGCUAAAACGCGAAAGCUAGGGGAGCGA
rnacentral:rRNA from 1 species